CCACGUUCGUCGUCCCCGGGUGAGUCGGGUCCUAAGGCGAGGCCGACAGGCGUAGUCGAAUGGAUGAACGGGUGGAUAUUCCCGUACCGACCAUGGACCGGCAAAACCGAGACGGUGAGUACUAACCUCCGCCUCGUGGUGGUUCCUUCCUUCGGGUUGGUGUCGCCGCGUGGUGUUGGGAGCGUAGCCGCAGUAGGUCAGCGCAGGGGUGACACGGAAUGGGAGCCGGCCGCGGAGGUGGUUUUCCGUGGUCAAGCACGCAGCCAGUCAUGUAGGCAAAUCCGCAUGGCGCGCAUGGCGAGGUGUGAUGAUGGGAGCCGUUAUGGCUCGAUAUCCGGUUGUCCAGGCCGUCGAGAAAAGCCUCGGCGUGAGGGCCAUGGCCGCCCGUACCCCAAACCGACACUGGUGGUCAGGUAGAGAAUACCAAGGCGAUCGAGCGAAUCCUGGUCAAGGAACUCGGCAAAUCACUCCCGUGCCUUCGGUAUAAGGGAGACCCGCUGGGGUGAACCGGCUAGCCCGGGGAGCUUUGGUGGGUGGCACAGACCAGGGGGUAGCGACUGUUUACCAAAAACACAGGUGCAUGCGAAGGCGAAAGCCGCUGUAUAUGCACUGACGCCUGCCCGGUGCCGGAAGGUUAAGAGGAUCCGUCAGUCCUUCGGGAUGAAGCGGUGAAUUCAAGCCCCGGUAAACGGCGGUGGUAACUAUAACCAUCCUAAGGUAGCGAAAUUCCUUGUCGGGUAAGUUCCGACCUGCACGAAUGGCGUAACGACUUCCCCACUGUCUCGACCAGGAGCUCGGCGAAAUUGCAGUACGAGUAAAGAUGCUCGUUAAGCGCAGAAGGACGAAAAGACCCCGGGACCUUUACUAUACCUUGGUAUUGGCGUUAGGCGCGGAUUGUGUAGCAUAGGCGGGAGGCUUCGAAGCGGGUGCGCCAGCAUUCGUGGAGCCGCAAGGUGAAAUACCGCUCUGUUCUCGUUUGACGUCUAACCUCGACAAGUCAUCCUUGUCAGGGACAGUGCCUGGCGGGUAGUUCAACUGGGGCGGUUGCCUCCCAAAGAGUAACGGAGGCGCUCAAAGGUCCGCUCAGCCCGGUUGGCAAUCGGGUGUCGAGUGUAAUCGCACAAGCGGGCUUGACUGCGAGGACGACGGUCCGAGCAGGGACGAAAGUCGGAGAUAGUGAUCCGGUGCCGGCGCACGGGCGCGGCAUCGCUCAACGGAUAAAAGGUACCCCGGGGAUAACAGGCUGAUCAUUCCCAAGAGUCCAUAUCGACGGGAUGGUUUGGCACCUCGAUGUCGGCUCGUCGCAUC
rnacentral:rRNA from 1 species